rnacentral:rRNA from 1 species
CUUCCCCUUCCGAACAGAGAAGUUAAGCCCGCUUGCGCCGAUGGUACUGCAAUGCAAUGUGGGAGAGUAGGAGGCCGCCUUCU